UGAUACUUAGUUUCAUUUUUAAAAUUUCAAAUAACAAAUGUUUAUCAUUUUCAUUCAUUUGCAGGCGUGUGAUCUGAUAUGAGGACAGAAAUAUUGAACGAUUCCACCAGUUUUUGGUCUCGGCACCAGCACAGACUAUGGAAUUGGUACUGCACAUAGAACAGUCGCCAUCAUAACACCUCAUGGUAGCUUCGAAAGCUUUUGAUCAACAGUUGGAGUCUUCUUUGGUCGCAAGAUACACAUCGGACCAGAAUUUCCUUCGCAGUCUGGAGUUGUUAAUAGCAUCCCAUCCAUUCUUGGUUUGACGACAAGAUCAUACUCAUUGGAUUCCAUGCGCUCAUAGGUAGUGUUAGUUUUAGCAGUGUUCCAGGAAACUUCAGUACCUUUAUUCCAUGGAGUGUGACCUUUUGUGAAAGCUGAUUUUUUAGGUUGUUUGUGAUUCGAUAAACCAGAUUUCUUUUUAUUCCAUGGAGAAUUACCAUUUUUGAACAUGAUGACGAUUAAAUUUUUUUAAGUCAGCAGUUAAAAAUCACUUAAAGAAGUUUGAUGCUGAAUGUUAGUUACAAACUAUUUAUUGUUCCUAUUAUGUAAAUGCCUUCAAGUGAUGUUUGAUACAUUUAUCUAGAUUAAUUAAGAAUUAAGUGACCGCAGUUGUAUGUACACUUAUUGUAGUCUGAGCAGGGGGCAUCCUUUAAGAAUCAUUUUUUUCAUAUUAAACAAACAUUAUUUCCAUAUUGGUUGAUAACAUAUGUUUUAUUUAGGAUUAGUCAGUCUAUCAAAACAUAUAUUUACUUAAAUGUAAAUGAAAUGGAAUUUAAUUUUGAAUUUUAUUUUCAGAACAAAAUUUGAAAAGGACAUUUUUAACUUUAAUUGAAAAAAAAUCAUAGACCUGCAUGACUAGAAUUCUUCUUUUUUAAAUUAAAAAUUAGAAUAUUACUUAGAAAAUGUUCCUAUACAACUUAAAAUGUAUAAUUUUUAUGUUUUACAGAAAAAAAAAUCUCAUCUAGUGGUUGUUAUAAUACAUGCGAAAAGAAAGAAACUACUUUAAAAUGGUGCUUUCCUAAAACCAUAAUUUUUGCUAAAGUUGAAAUAAAUUUAGAAUUUUUUGAAAGAUGUUUUUCUUCGUUAUAUGUUUGUUGAAUUUUUUAUGAAAGAAUUAUGGAGAAAAAAGAUUGAUUUCUAUUUUUUAUUAAAUUUUUAAAAUUAAAAACAUUGUUUUCUUAUGGUAUUUCUCUUAUAAUUUAUUUCUCUUUAAAAUUGUUUUAAAACCAUAAAAUGAACAUUAUGUCUAAAUCUAGAAACCUAUUUCAGCAUGCUAAAUUUUAUUUCAUAAAGAUAUUCCAACAAAUGGGAAAGUUAUUCAACUUUUCAAAAUUAACAUUGCUGGGCUAACUCGUCUUUAUUGCUUUCUACUGAUAAGAUAUUUGUGAACAUGGGUUGUGUCAUAAAAUAUGGUGUAACUUUUUUAAUACGUCUUUAAAUGGCAAAUAAGUUGGUAAAGUUCUUCGAUAUACAUUUUCCAUUGUUCGUAUGAAUUUUUGUAGGACUAGAUGAAAAAAAGUUGGUCUAAUAGGCUUCAGACCACAAUUAAUUCCCUUUGCUCGUGGUCUAGGAAUGUAGU